AUGAGAGGUAGAGACCGAGCUGAUGAGAGAGAGCUGAUAAAAGAGAAAGACUUAACUGAUAAGAGAGAGCUGAUGAAAGAGGAAGAAUUCAUUUUAAAUCUGACGUAGCAUGGACGACUGCACGCUAAUUAUAUCUAACGACUGUAUAUAAAAGAAUUAAUGGUUUGAAAAAUGACACUU